AAUCAACGCUGGCGGCGUGCCUAAUACAUGCAAGUCGAACGCGAAAGCCCCUUCGGGGGUAAGUAGAGUGGCGUCCGGGUGAGUAACACGUAGGUAAUCUACCUUCGGGUGGGGAAUAACCAGUCGAAAGAUUGGCUAAUACCGCAUAAUGCAGCGGCACCUAAUGGUGAUUAGUUGUUAAAGCGGGGGAUCGUAAGACCUCGCGCCUGAAGAGGAGCCUGCGGCAGAUUAGCUAGUUGGNGUAGGUAAUGGCUCACCAAGGCUUCGAUCUGUAGCUGGUCUGAGAGGACGGCCAGCCACACUGGCACUGACACACGGGCCAGACUCCUACGGGAGGCAGCAGUGGGGAAUUUUGGGCAAUGGGCGAAAGCCUGACCCAGCAACGCCGCGUGAGGGAGGAAAUCCUUCGGGAUGUAAACCUCACAAGCAAGGGAAGAGAGCUCCAGGGCCGAAUAAGCUUUGAGUCCGACGGUACCUUGCGUAAGCCACGGCUAACUACGU
rnacentral:rRNA from 1 species